rnacentral:rRNA from 1 species
GAUGAACGCUGGCGGCGUGCCUAAUACAUGCAAGUCGAGCGAACAGACGAGGAGCUUGCUCCUCUGACGUUAGCGGCGGACGGGUGAGUAACACGUGGAUAACCUACCUAUAAGACUGGGAUAACUUCGGGAAACCGGAGCUAAUACCGGAGAAUAUAUUGAACCGCAUGGAUCAAUAGUGAAAGACGGUUUUGCUGUCACUUAUAGAUGGAUCCGCGCCGCAUUAGCUAGUUGGUAAGGUAACGGCUUACCAAGGCAACGAUGCGUAGCCGACCUGAGAGGGUGAUCGGCCACACUGGAACUGAGACACGGUCCAGACUCCUACGGGAGGCAGCAGUAGGGAAUCUUCCGCAAUGGGCGAAAGCCUGACGGAGCAACGCCGCGUGAGUGAUGAAGGUCUUCGGAUCGUAAAACUCUGUUAUUAGGGAAGAACAAAUGUGUAAGUAACUAUGCACGUCUUGACGGUACCUAAUCAGAAAGCCACGGCUAACUACGUG